rnacentral:rRNA from 1 species
CACGUAGGGUGCGAGCGUUGUCCGGAAUUAUUGGGCGUAAAGAGCUCGUAGGCGGUGUGUCGCGUCGGCCGUGAAAACCUGCAGCUUAACUGUGGGCUUGCGGUCGAUACGGGCAUCACUGGAGUUCGGCAGGGGAGACUGGAAUUCCUGGUGUAGCGGUGAAAUGCGCAGAUAUCAGGAGGAACACCGGUGGCGGAAGGCGGGUCUCUGGGCCGAUAACUGAC